rnacentral:rRNA from 1 species
AUUGAACGCUGGCGGCAGGCCUAACACAUGCAAGUCGAACGAGUGGCGGACGGGUGAGUAAUGUCUGGGAAACUGCCCGAUGGAGGGGGUUACCUCCUGGAAACGGUAGCUAAUACCCCAUACAAUCGAUGUUGCCCAGAUGGGAUUAGCAAGUGGGUGGGGUAACGGCUCACCUAGGCGACGAUCCCUAGCUGGUCUGAGAGGAUGACCAGCCACACUGGAACUGAGACACGGUCCAGACUCCUACGGGAGGCAGCAGUGGGGAAUAUUGUACAAUGGGCGCAAGCCUGAUGCAGCCAUGCCGCGUGUAUGAAGAAGGCCUUCGGGUUGUAAAGUACUUUCAGCGAGGAGGCGUUACUCGCAGAAGAAGCACCGGCUAACUCCGUGCCAGCAGCCGCGGUAAUUC